AGUAAAGAAAAAUAGUACUGAGGGAACUUUCCAGAAGAACCACCAAGUGAUGUCUGUGUGGCAUCCAGAAGAAGAAAUAUUCUCUCUCGUACAGGCAAAUCUGUCUUUUUCUUUACUAUCUUCACAAGAAUAUGCNNNNGCUUGCUGAGCAACCACAUCCUGUCUAGCAGCAGCAAGUUCUCCAUUAAGUGUACUUUUUU
rnacentral:misc_RNA from 1 species